rnacentral:rRNA from 1 species
UGGCUCAGGAUGAACGCUGGCGGCGUGCUUAACACAUGCAAGUCGAACGAUGAAGCCUAGCUUGCUGGGUGGAUUAGUGGCGAACGGGUGAGUAACACGUGAGCAACCUGCCCCUGACUCUGGGAUAAGCGCUGGAAACGGCGUCUAAUACUGGAUAUGUCCCAUCACCGCAUGGUGUGUGGGUGGAAAGAUUUUUCGGUUGGGGAUGGGCUCGCGGCCUAUCAGCUUGUUGGUGAGGUAAUGGCUCACCAAGGCGUCGACGGGUAGCCGGCCUGAGAGGGUGACCGGCCACACUGGGACUGAGACACGGCCCAGACUCCUACGGGAGGCAGCAGUGGGGAAUAUUGCACAAUGGGCGGAAGCCUGAUGCAGCAACGCCGCGUGAGGGAUGACGGCCUUCGGGUUGUAAACCUCUUUUAGCAGGGAAGAAGCGAGAGUGACGGUACCUGCAGAAAAAGCACCGGCUAACUACGUGCCAGCAGCCGCGGUAAUACGUAGGGUGCAAGCGUUAUCCGGAAUUAUUGGGCGUAAAGAGCUCGUAGGCGGUCUGUCGCGUCUGCUGUGAAAUUCCGAGGCUCAACCUCGGGCUUGCAGUGGGUACGGGCAGACUAGAGUGCGGUAGGGGAGAUUGGAAUUCCUGGUGUAGCGGUGGAAUGCGCAGAUAUCAGGAGGAACACCGAUGGCGAAGGCAGAUCUCUGGGCCGUAACUGACGCUGAGGAGCGAAAGGGUGGGGAGCAAACAGGCUUAGAUACCCUGGUAGUCCACCCCGUAAACGUUGGGAACUAGUUGUGGGGUCCUUUCCACGGAUUCCGUGACGCAGCUAACGCAUUAAGUUCCCCGCCUGGGGAGUACGGCCGCAAGGCUAAAACUCAAAGGAAUUGACGGGGACCCGCACAAGCGGCGGAGCAUGCGGAUUAAUUCGAUGCAACGCGAAGAACCUUACCAAGGCUUGACAUACACGAGAACGGGCCAGAAAUGGUCAACUCUUUGGACACUCGUGAACAGGUGGUGCAUGGUUGUCGUCAGCUCGUGUCGUGAGAUG